rnacentral:rRNA from 1 species
UACGUAGGGUGCAAGCGUUAAUCGGAAUUACUGGGCGUAAAGCGUGCGCAGGCGGUGAUGUAAGACAGGUGUGAAAUCCCCGGGCUUAACCUGGGAACUGCAUUUGUGACUGCAUCGCUGGAGUGCGGCAGAGGGGGAUGGAAUUCCGCGUGUAGCAGUGAAAUGCGUAGAUAUGCGGAGGAACACCGAUGGCGAAGGCAAUCCCCUGGGCCUGCACUGACGCUCAUGCACGAAAGCGUGGGAGCAACAGGAUGA